rnacentral:rRNA from 1 species
GGAAGGUGGCGGCAGCCUAUACAUGCAGUCGAACGAGCUUCCGUUGAAUGACGUGCUUGCACUGAUUUUAACAAUGAAGCGAGUGGCGAACUGGUGAGUAACACGUGGGAAAUCUGCCCAGAAGCAGGGGAUAACACUUGGAAACAGGUGCUAAUACCGUAUAACAACAAAAUCCGCAUGGAUUUUGUUUGAAAGGUGGCUUCGGCUAUCACUUCUGGAUGAUCCCGCGGCGUAUUAGUUAGUUGGUGAGGUAAAGGCCCACCAAGACGAUGAUACGUAGCCGACCUGAGAGGGUAAUCGGCCACAUUGGGACUGAGACACGGCCCAAACUCCUACGGGAGGCAGCAGUAGGGAAUCUUCCACAAUGGACGAAAGUCUGAUGGAGCAAUGCCGCGUGAGUGAAGAAGGGUUUCGGCUCGUAAAACUCUGUUGUUAAAGAAGAACACCUUUGAGAGUAACUGUUCAAGGGUUGACGGUAUUUAACCAGAAAGCCACGGCUAACUACGUGCCAGCAGCCGCGGUAAUACGUAGGUGGCAAGCGUUGUCCGGAUUUAUUGGGCGUAAAGCGAGCGCAGGCGGUUUUUUAAGUCUGAUGUGAAAGCCUUCGGCUUAACCGGAGAAGUGCAUCGGAAACUGGGAGACUUGAGUGCAGAAGAGGACAGUGGAACUCCAUGUGUAGCGGUGGAAUGCGUAGAUUUAUGGAAGAACACCAGUGGCGAAAGCGGCUGUCUAGUCUGUAACUGACGCUGAGGCUCGAAAGCAUGGGUAGCGAACAGGAUUAGAUACCCUGGUAGUCCAUGCCGUAAACGAUGAGUGCUAAGUGUUGGAAGGUUUCCGCCCUUCAGUGCUGCAGCUAACGCAUUAAGCACUCCGCCCGGGGAGUACGACCGCAAGGUUGAAACUCAAAGGAAUUGACGGGGGCCCGCACAAGCGGUGGAGCAGGUGGUUUAAUUCGAAGCUACGCGAAGAACCUUACCAGGUCUUGACAUCUUCUGCCAAUCUUAGAGAUAAGACGUUCCCUUCGGGGACAGAAUGACAGGUGGUGCAGGGUUGUCGUCAGCUCGUGUCGUGAGAUGUUGGGUUAAGUCCCGCAACGAGCGCAACCCUUAUUAUCAGUUGCCAGCAUUCAUUUGGGCACUCUGGUGA